rnacentral:rRNA from 1 species
UACGUAGGUGACGAGCGUUAUCCGGAAUUACUGGGCGUAAAGCGCACGCAGGCGGCGCUACAAGUCUGACGUAAAAUCUCCUGGCUUAACUGGGAGGGGUCGUUGGAAACUGUAGAGCUUGAGGCAACGAGAGGGGUGUAGAAUUCCCGGUGUAGUGGUGGAAUGCGUAGAUAUCGGGAGGAAUACCAGAGGCGAAAGCGGCACCCUGGCGUUAGCCUGACGCUCAUGUGCGAAGGCGUGGGGAGCGAACGGG